UGGUUGAUCCUGCCAGUAGUCAUAUGCUU
rnacentral:rRNA from 1 species